GGUUCCAUUCCUGCACAGGUUCCAAGGCCGGUGGUGUUUACCUGGUUGCCAUGGAGACCGGGGGUUCCAAGGGGUCUCCAGGCAGUUGGCCCCGUCAUUGCCUUCCUGGCCACCAACAUGGGCAGAGGGCUGUCUAGGCAGGUCCAGCCAGGGCCACCCCCCAUGGAUGCCUCUCUGGCCCAGGCCCCUGCACAUCUCCCCGCUCAGGAUGGGCCUGGAAACGUGGUUUAGGAAAGUCGGGACGAGGGGCCCACAUCUCCACCGGAUGGGCCCCGAAAGCACAGAGGACAUUCCUGUGGCUCCUCAAAGAAACGACAGAAAAAGGAAGAGCAGAGCAAGUUAUGGCGCUAUCCUGAGGAACUGUUGCAGCCCAAGGCAGCACGAGCACUUGAAAACCAGACAGGAGCCAAUAUAACACACAAGCCGUUUAUUGGAGCAAAAUAUAUCUAUGCGGAUUUAAGGUGGAAAGUCAGAUGCCCUCACUCCUCAGAGAAGACCUGGAUGUUGCUGACAGUCUGGCUCCAACAUUGCAGCCUGGCCAUCAAACAUCAGAACAGGCAGGCCCUUCUCCUUUUCUGCAAGACUUACA